AGAUUGAACGCUGGCGGCGUGCCUAACACAUGCAAGUCGAGCGGUAACAGGUGUAGCAAUACAUGCUGACGAGCGGCGAACGGGUGAGUAAUGCUUUGGAAUCUUCCCAGUAGUGGGGAAUAACCAGUCGAAAGAUUGGCUAAUACCGCAUACGUCUGUAAAGGGAAAGCGGGGGCUCGUAAGACCUCGCGCUAUUGGAUGAGCCAAAGUCGGAUUAGCUAGUUGGUGGGGUAAUGGCCUACCAAGGCGACAAUCCGUAGCUGGUCUGAGAGGACGACCAGCCACACCGGAACUGAGACACGGUCCGGACUCCUACGGGAGGCAGCAGUGGGGAAUAUUGGACAAUGGGGGAAACCCUGAUCCAGCGACGCCGCGUGUGUGAAGAAGGCCUGCGGGUUGUAAAGCACUUUUAGUGGGGACAAAAAGCUACGGACUAAUAUUCUGUGGUCUUGAUUUAACCCAAAGAAAAGCACCGGCUAACUCUGUGCCAGCAGCCGC
rnacentral:rRNA from 1 species